rnacentral:tRNA from 1 species
AGUAGGGUCAGCUAACAAAGCUAUUGGGCCCAUACCCCAAAAAUGAUGGUUUAACCCCCUCCCCUACUA